rnacentral:rRNA from 1 species
AGCGGCGGACGGGUGAGUAACGCGUAGGAAUCUACCCAGUAGCGGGGGAUAGCCCGGGGAAACUCGGAUUAAUACCGCAUACGCCCUAAGGGGGAAAGCAGGGGAUCUUCGGACCUUGCACUAUUGGCAGAGCCUGCGUUGGAUUAGCUAGUUGGUAGGGUAAAGGCCUACCAAGGCGACGAUCCAUAACUGGUCUGAGAGGAUGAUCAGUCACACCGGAACUGAGACACGGUCCGGACUCCUACGGGAGGCAGCAGUGGGGAAUAUUGGACAAUGGGGGCAACCCUGAUCCAGCCAUGCCGCGUGUGUGAAGAAGGCCUUCGGGUUGUAAAGCACUUUAAGUGGGGAGAAAGGUUCCAGGGUUAAUAACCUUGGGAAUUGAUGUUACCCACAGAAUAAGCACCGGCUAACUCUGUGCCAGCAGCCGCGGUAAUACAGAGGGUGCAAGCGUUAAUCGGAAUUACUGGGCGUAAAGCGCGCGUAGGCGGCUGUUUAAGUCGGGUGUGAAAGCCCCGGGCUCAACCUGGGAACUGCAUUCGAUACUGGACGGCUAGAGUAUGAAAGAGGGAGGUAGAAUUCCACGUGUAGCGGUGAAAUGCGUAGAUAUGUGGAGGAAUACCGGUGGCGAAGGCGGCCUCCUGGUUCAAUACUGACGCUGAGGUGCGAAAGCGUGGGGAGCAAACAGGAUUAGAUACCCUGUAGUCCACGCUGU